UACGUAGGGGGCAAGUGUUGUCCGGAUUUACUGGGCGUAAAGGGCGCGCAGGCGGCUGCUCAAGUCAGGCGUGAAAGGCCUGGGCUCAACCCGGGAAUUGCGCUUGAGACUGGGCUGGCUUGAGUGCGGGAGAGGAUGGUGGAAUUCCCAGUGUAGAGGUGAAAUUCGUAGAUAUUGGGAAGAACACCGGUGGCGAAGGCGGCCAUCUGGACCGCAACUGACGCUGAGGCGCGAAAGCGUGGGAGCAACAGG
rnacentral:rRNA from 1 species